rnacentral:rRNA from 1 species
AUUGAACGCUGGCGGCAGGCCUAACACAUGCAAGUCGAGCGGAUGAAGAGAGCUUGCUCUCUGAUUCAGCGGCGGACGGGUGAGUAAUGCCUAGGAAUCUGCCUGGUAGUGGGGGACAACGUUUCGAAAGGAACGCUAAUACCGCAUACGUCCUACGGGAGAAAGCAGGGGACCUUCGGGCCUUGCGCUAUCAGAUGAGCCUAGGUCGGAUUAGCUAGUAGGUGAGGUAAUGGCUCACCUAGGCGACGAUCCGUAACUGGUCUGAGAGGAUGAUCAGUCACACUGGAACUGAGACACGGUCCAGACUCCUACGGGAGGCAGCAGUGGGGAAUAUUGGACAAUGGGCGAAAGCCUGCUCCAGCCAUGCCGCGUGUGUGAAGAAGUUCUUCGGAUUGUAAAGCACUUUAAGUUGGGAGGAAGGGCAGUAAGUUAAUACCUUGCUGUUUUGACGUUACCAACAGAAUAAGCACCGGCUAACUUCGUGCCAGCAGCCGCCGUAAAAC